AUUGAACGCUGGCGGCAGGCCUAACACAUGCAAGUCGAACGGUAGCACAGAGAGCUUGCUCUCGGGUGACGAGUGGCGGACGGGUGAGUAACGUCUGGGAAACUGCCCGAUGGAGGGGGAUAACUACUGGAAACGGUAGCUAAUACCGCAUAACGUCGCAAGACCAAAGUGGGGGACCUUCGGGCCUCACACCAUCGGAUGUGCCCAGAUGGGAUUAGCCAGUAGGUGGGGUAAUGGCUCACCUAGGCGACGAUCCCUAGCUGGUCUGAGAGGAUGACCAGCCACACGGGAACUGAGACACGGUCCAGACUCCUACGGGAGGCAGCAGUGGGGAAUAUUGCACAAUGGGCGCAAGCCUGAUGCAGCCAUGCCGCGUGUAUGAAGAAGGCCUUCGGGUUGUAAAGUACUUUCAGCGGGGAGGAAGGCGGUGAAGUUAAUAGCUUCACCGAUUGACGUUACCCGCAGAAGAAGCACCGGCUAACUCCGUGCCAGCAGCCGCCGUAA
rnacentral:rRNA from 1 species